UACGGAGGGUGCAAGCGUUGUCCGGAAUCACUGGGCGUAAAGGGCGCGUAGGCGGCUCGGUAAGUAGGGGGUGAAAUCCUGCGGCUUAACCGCAGGGCUGCCUUCUAAACUGUCGAGCUCGAGCACGGUAGAGGCAGAUGGAAUUCCCGGUGUAGCGGUGGAAUGCGUAGAGAUCGGGAAGAACAUCAGUGGCGAAGGCGGGUUGCUGGGCUGACACUGACGCUGAUGCGCGAAAGCUAGGGGAGCGAACGGG
rnacentral:rRNA from 1 species